CCUCAGCCCCCUCCCGCCACCCCCGGGCUGUCUGUGCGGCCACAGGGGCUGGGGCAGGGGUGGGAGCCCCGAGAGACCUCGUGGAAAGGGUCUCUGGGAGGAGCAUGGUGACAUGGCCUUGGGGAAGAGGCUGUGGCGAGCACGGCGGCCAGGCUGUGAGGAGGAGGCGGUGGGCGAUGCCGCGGCAGCUGCUCCAGGGCCGAGGGGCACCUCAGAGGGAGAAGAGUGACAGUUGGAAAUGCUGUUGCUUUAAGCAUUACGACUACAACGUAUAAAGAACUAGGCCGUGGGCAGUCUUCAGUACUGUUCCAUCUAACUUCUAUGAAAUCAAUAGGAUGUUAGGGAACCGGCAAAAGAAGGAGCAGAACCAGAUUUCAAGAGACACAGGAAGAGCUACUGUCUCAAAGAAAACAUGAAGAAAGGUCCAACAGUGAAGUUGGAGGCCCAACUGUCUCACUGCAUCUUCCUAUGUAUGGGUAAAAUCCUGAAUUUAACUAUUUGGUAUUCCAAGCUACCACCUCUUUAGUUCACUGGUGAUAUGGCAGAGAGAACUGAUGUGGGUAAUGUACCAGUGGAAUAAUUAUAGAAAUUGAAAGGGCCACUGGAAAAUCUCAUAGUCGGAGAGCAUGGAACCUGUGAUUUUAUUUUAAACUUAGAGAACUGUUGGGAACAAUUUACUAUUUUCCUGGCUUUUCUGUUUAUUUAGUGGAGCUUACUAGUAACACAGAAUUUGAUCAAUCAGAGUGCAGAGUUUGAAAUUAUGUUUCUAGUUAGAAUUUUCUGAAUUAUAUCCAUUGUGGAACUUAAGUUUGGGAGGAGUCCUAAGAGAUCGCCUAGUCUAGCCUGCACUGCAUCAAGACUAAAUAUAUCAAGGCUAGUGCCAGCAUGCUUAUCAAACUUUGUUUUUAAAAAAAUCCAGUGGAAGAGAUUUCACAGUCGUCCUAGAUAGUCUUCUCCAGUGUUGAAAAAUCCUUAGCUGGAAUGCUGAUCAAAAUCUUUUAAGCAUUUCUUGCUGCAAAUCAAGUUGACUCUUUCACGUCUUUCUACAGGAGCCAUAGAGGAUAGCUGAUCGACAUCUCUGUAAUGAGCUUGUAUGUGUCAGAAAGAUGCAUCUUGCUUGAAGCUUUUGUUUUCUUGACUAGGCAUACCUAAUUCUUUCAGCUUUUUCUCCAAGGGUUUGGUUCAUAAACUUCUUCUUAUUAUUUUCUUGCUUCUCUUCACCUGUGUUUAUGUUUCUUAGGUGUUAAUCCAGGACCAGACACAUUAUGCCACUUGGGGCUUCAGUACCACGAGAAUUUAAGAAACCAAACAAAUUGUCCUGUAUAUGACACACCUGUUAAUGUGCUCCAGAAUUAAACACAUUUCUGGCAGUGAUACUGCACUAUUGGUUUAUAUUGCUGGUUAUCCAUACAACCCUAAGAUCUGGUUUUGCUGUAUUUCUGUCUAGUCCGGAAUUCAACACAGUUUAUUCAUGUUUCAUUCUUUUCCUAAGGAUAAAAUAUUUUUCAGUACUGUUUUUUCCCUUGUUUGUUUUUGGACAACCUGUCCAAUUCGUCAGUACGAUUUGGGGUUUUUGAUCUCAUUCUUUCUAGUGUUUGCAUCCUUUUGCCAUUGUUUUGAGGUUAUCAGUUGUUACAGCACAGAUUUUAUAAUCAUAGUAAUAUAUCAUCUACGUUGGUAGUGAACACAGUAUAUAAAACAGAGCACAGGAUAUAUCCCGAAAUGUGUCUUUCUGAUGUGCCUCUGUGUUUUGAUGAGUCAUGACUAAUGACCACCACGGUUUUCUUCUAUCAGAUGCUUGCACACCUUGCCCUAGUUGUAUUUAAAAUGUCAUUCUAUAAAAGUGUCUUAUGAGACGGUGCCAAAAGCUGUACAAGAUGUAUCAUGUCUGUUGCCUUCUGUUUACUCAGUGAGCUUUACGUUACUUAAAAAAGGGAACUUCAUU